GCAUGGCUUCAGUCCCCCAUGGAAGAGGCUGGGCUCCCCGCUGCUCAGAGCUCCUGGUUAGGGACAUCCACGCCUGCACCUGGCUCGGAGUCCAGGGUGCGCAUAUUCCGGAUCCAGCCACGAGAUGUUCCUGCUGCGGCUGCAGGUGUUUCCCAGCCCAGCUUGCUGAACCUCCAGCUCUGACUUUGGCACCUUCUUCAUUCCAGCUCUGGCUCUCAGAUGCUCCACUUGAUGGCUGCUCCAGUUCCUUCCAGCUCUGGCUAAAUAACUGGCGUCUCUUACGUAAUCUGUGUCUAUGUUCUGUCAUUUAUGUCCA